rnacentral:rRNA from 1 species
CGCCUCUUGCAAAAUAAAUGAAUAAGAGGUCCCGCCUGCCCUGUGACUAUAUGUUCAACGGCCGCGGUAUUUUGACCGUGCGAAGGUAGCGCAAUCACUUGUCUUUUAAAUGAAGACCUGUAUGAAUGGCAUCACGAGGGCUUAGCUGUCUCCCCCUCCCAGUCAAUGAAAUUGAUUUUCCCGUGCAGAAGCGGGAAUAAGAACAUAAGACGAGAAGACCCUAUGGAGCUUAAGACGCCAGGACAGCUCAUGUUAAACACCCCAGAACAAAGGGAAUAAACUUAGUGAAACCCUGCCCUAGUGUCUUUGGUUGGGGCGACCACGGGGAAAAACUUAACCCCCAUGCGGAAUAGGAAUACUAUUUUCCUAGACUCAAGAGCUCCCGCUCUAAUAGACAGAAUUUCUGACCAAAAGGAUCCGGCAAUGCCGAUCAACGGACCGAGUUACCCUAGGGAUAACAGCGCAAUCCUCUUUAAGAGUCCCUAUCGACAAGAGGGUUUACGACCUCGAUGUUGGAUCAGGACAUCCUAAUGGUGCAGCCGCUAUUAAGGGUUCGUUUGUUCAACGAUUAAAGUCCU